GGAAAGUUUUAGGUUCACAAAUGAAUAACUCAAGAAAAUAUUUUGAAACUUUCAAAUUGUAAUUGGAACUUGAACUAAAUGACUUUGUGUACCCUACCACCCUUAAGAUUUCAUAUCUCAAACCAGAAUGGAAAUUAUUAAUGGCAUACCUAAGAUGCCUUUAGCUUUUUAGAAGAAUUGACAAACAUUUUUAUGCUUUGUAGCAAAGCAGAAUUAAAAAACUGUGUCUUCCAUAGAAUUUAUUAGACUCAUCACAUUGACAGCUAUUUUUGUUUAAUACRGCAAUGUACAUAAAUACAUAACAGUAGAUUUAAACAGGUAACUUACCUGGAAGAUUCUCACUCAUGUUCUGGGGUUUAUACAGCAGCACUAUAUUGGUAAAUCUCUUCUGGUUCUUUAGAAAUAACUUACAUGACUUUAUAAUUUUUUUUUGGAGAUGGAAUAGGAAUAAAUCCUGCACAGACUGCUGGAAAUGUUUUUCUAAAGCACGGUUCAGAACUUCGAAUUAUUCCUAGAGAUCGUGUUGGAACUUGUUAAUAUCUGCUACUUGGAACAUACAGUUACUUUUCAGAAUAAAUAUUGGUAUUUUUUGUUGUUGUAAAUUUGAAAUCAGGCAUUUAGCGUACUACGAAAACACGAGAAGUCAGUGAAACAAUGAAAAGUGGACUCUUCUGGUCCCUUCUUUGUUCAUGAUCUUCAUGUGCAGAGGGAAUGCUUGUGAGUAGCGGGAACUGCCACCACAGAAGGUCUUAGAGUUGUUGAUUGCUACCUCACAACACAAGUACGGAGUUCAUUUGUGAAAAUGGAUUAUCCAACUGURUUUUUUACCUGGAUGAUUCUGAUAAUUCUUUCUGGAGAACUUUUGGAAARUUAAAAUUUACUUAAUCUUACAUAUUUGUAUUUGAGUUAAAAAUGURAAAGGAAAUGAGUCAUAGAUGGAAGUUUGCUAGAUAGCAUCUGACUUACAAACUCAUAAAUAGUUUGAUUUUUAAGCSUAUAGUUUGUGAUGAUGAUGAUAGACAUAUCAAUGAUGGUUAACUGUCUUGACUUUAUCAUUUAGUUUUAUAAGUUUUAGACUUCAUGUGUCAUGUAAAUUACAUUUAAUUCAGUACCAGAGGACCAAAAAUCUUACUUUUGAUCUAACCUUUAUGUAUAUAAAGUCACAUCCCACAACAAAUAAGUCUUUUAACAGUCAUCUUGGCAGAAUCCAGUAUAUGUAAUAGUGGCAAUUGACAAUGCAGUACAAACGUCCUUUAUUGAAUUAUGCAUUUCUGUAUCAGUCUUGUGUAGUACAAUGUUUGAGACAGAAAUCUUCUAGAAACCAUUGUCCUUUGGAGGAUAAUAUUUCCAAAUAACUUUGAAGAAGAGAGUGUUGUUGCAGAGAAAAUAUGAAGAAUACAACAAAGUUUAAAGAUAUCAAUUGAAAAUUCCAAUGAAUUAUACUUAUUGAAGACCUGACUUUAAAAAUGUGCUAAUAUUUUUCAACCAAAUGGAUAAGAAACCAAGUAAAGAGAGAUGAGAAAGACUGGUUGAUGAGGCUUUUGCAAGGAGGAAAGCAACAAGUACCCAGGGAAGAGGAAAGUAAAGUGUCACAGAAAUAGCCAGCUGGUUGGACAAAGCUGCGGAGGGUAUGUUGGAGAAAACUGAAAGUGAAAACAAAAUAUUUGACUUAAUCUAAGUAGCAGAAGGCAGUUAGACAGAGGGCCUUGCCUGCAUACAGAUUUCAAAGUACCCUUUAUGACAAUUCAGAGAAUAUAAUAAAAAAUUAUACUUGAUCUUACAGAGGAUAUCAGUAUCUAGGUACGUCUUGAAAGAUAAAAUGAAGGCUUUUAGUGAUUCAGAAUCAUUUCUUGACGUGCUGUAUUUUGAAUGACAAACUCCCUAGAGGCAGGGCUUUUCAUGUCAGAUUCUUUCUAGAGCUGAAAGUGUAGUAGACAUUUGGUAAAUACUUGGUGAGUUAUUCAUGAAUAAAGUCUAAGACCAGUUUUUAUCUUACCAUGUUUCAGUGUCUUCCCUGUUAUAGUUCCUAGGUUUGAUGGGGAAGAAAUAAAUACAAGAAAAUACAACUGAAUCAUCUUAAGGGUKACAUCGGUAGUUUAAAAAAUUACCAAAUAAUAUUCACAGAUUUAAUGAACAGCAGGAUUCUGAAUUAUCAAAGUAAGAAUUUUUUUUUUUUUGCCAAGUUAAAAAAAUAUACUCCUAAUGUUUGGAAUUUCAUAUAUAUUUUUAUAUAUGAAAAAAAAAGAAAAAAAACAGUGAUAUGAUGCUUAAAAGCCCUUAUUUCUUAUAAUUGAGCAUAAGUUAACCAGAAAGUUAUGAAUAACUAUUCCCUGAAUUGGGGGCUUAAUUUAAAAUUUCUUCCAUUUUGCUUCUAAUACAAAAACCUUUCUGUUGUUUGCUUAGAUAAGUUUAUUGUGUUCUGUGCCAUAAAGUGAUUUAUUUAAUACUUUUGUUCUUCAGUUUUGAAAAUUAGAUUGCAGUUCUCAAAAACCUUUCAUUGAGUGAGAUAUUUUGUUACUAAACAAUUAUGAUCUGUAAGCUCUUUGUGCAAAAUAUUUUGAAGUAUUGUAUUUUAGUUUAAUUAACAGUCCAUAAUUAAUAUCUUAUGAAAAUACUUUUGUUAUACUCUAAACCAUAUUGCCUAUCCUUAUUUUAUUAUUAGAAUUCUUAAUCAGCACACCGGUUGUGCCAGUUUAUUAAAAAUGUAAUUAUAAAAAGCAGAGAUAAUUAAAUACCAUAAAUCAUGGAUAAGAAUGUAUAUUUCCAAGUGUCAGUUUUUAUUUUACAAAAUAAAAAAUUAAAACUCUGAAGAAGGGGUGAUAGUAAUUAACUGUACUGGUAGGUCCUAAACCUGGGUGAUCAUCAGUCAUGUAGGGAAUUAAAAAUACAGAUUUCUGGAAACCACCCAUUAAAUUCAAGUUAUUAAAUCUGGAAUAGUGUAAAAGAACCUCUUAUAAAAAGUUCUGGUGAUUUCUGCAGUGCAGGUGAUUUUAGAAUUAAUAAAAUCAACCUUUUUACUAUCUACCAUACAUUUUUACCCAAGGACUUGAAAUAAAUUGGAAGAACUAAUAUACUGUAAUGUAGUGACUCUAAAUUAACUGAUAUUAAUGUUCUCAGGGCCAUUUGUAAAACCACAGGAAACAUGAUUUAUCUAUGGAUUAUAUUAUUUGAAGGAUAAUUUUAUUUAUGUUGUCUCAUUCUUCAAACUGCUAAAUUAUUGCCCUCACUUUAUAGAAGAAGAAAGAGGCUUAGUUAGGUUGAGAUUUGAAAUUUGAACCCUUGUUUUGACUUUGACAUACUGGAAGAAAUUUAUAGUAUUCAUUUCUUGUAAUAUACUAGAGCUGUGUUGAAUUAGGAGUUACAAAAAUUACAAAUGUAAGUCUUAAAAUUAUAUGUCAGUACUAAAUACACAUGUAAUAAUAAGGAACUAUAUUAAUUUUUAACAUAGUAUGAUGGUAUAAAUAUAAAGUUCUAGGGCAUUAAAUAUGAACUAAAUAAAUAAAAAUGAUAAUACUGAUAGUACUCCGUAGGUGGCCUCGUAGAAGUAGGAACUGUCUCUCUCUUUUCCUCAGCCACAUCAGACCAUUUGUUUUUUUAAUCUUAAGUAUCACAGAUUUAGCUGUGAGACUGCUUCCCUAAUAACCUACUCUUCCCACCAGGUUGUUGUUCAUAAGCCCCUCUAGAAUACAGAAAUUCUGGAAUUGUCCUCUGUUGGUUAAUGCUAGAGAUGGAUGAAACAUUAUUUAAACUGGGACAUUUAAUUAGACUAUUAUUGAGAUAAAUAUUCUUAAAAGGCUCGCUGUUAACAUUCACAUCCUGAAAACUGUCUAUAUACCAGAUAUGUUUUACUAAUCAUGAUUCCUUUCUCACUAUAUAAAAGCAAACAAUUACCUUAAUUCUAAGCCACACCCAUUGUUCAGUUAAAGCCCUUUUUAUAUUAUUAAAAAAGCCACUGUUAUUCCCAUUUCUUCUUUCACAGUUGCCAUAAUGAGCUUUUUGACCUGAUUGUGUACUUCCCACUAAAAAGUUCUGCUAAAUAAAAACGCAUACUUUCUAUGACA